rnacentral:tmRNA from 1 species
GGGAGCGACUUGGCUUCGACAGGAGUAAGUCUGCUUAGAUGGCAUGUCGCUUUGGGUAAAGCGUAAAAAGCCCAAAUAAAAUUAAACGCAAACAACGUUAAAUUCGCUCCUGCUUACGCUAAAGCUGCGUAAGUUCAGUUGAGCCUGAAAUUUAAGUCAUACUAUCUAGCUUAAUUUUCGGUCAUUUUUGAUAGUGUAGCCUUGCGUUUGACAAGCGUUGAGGUGAAAUAAAGUCUUAGCCUUGCUUUUGAGUUUUGGAAGAUGAGCGAAGUAGGGUGAAGUAGUCAUCUUUGCUAAGCAUGUAGAGGUCUUUGUGGGAUUAUUUUUGGACAGGGGUUCGAUUCCCCUCGCUUCCACCA